rnacentral:rRNA from 1 species
UACGGGAGGCAGCAGUGGGGAAUAUUGCACAAUGGGCGCAAGCCUGAUGCAGCCAUGCCGCGUGUAUGAAGAAGGCCUUCGGGUUGUAAAGUACUUUCAGUCGUGAGGAAGGUGUUAAGGUUAAUAACCUUAGCAAUUGACGUUAGCGACAGAAGAAGCACCGGCUAACUCCGUGCCAGCAGCCGCGGUAAUACGGAGGGUGCGAGCGUUAAUCGGAAUUACUGGGCGUAAAGGGCACGCAGGCGGUUAAUUAAGUUGGAUGUGAAAUCCCCGGGCUUAGCCUGGGAAUGGCAUUCAAGACUGGUUAGCUAGAGUCUUGUAGAGGGGGUAGAAUUCCAUGUGUAGCGGUGAAAUGCGUAGAGAUGUGGAGGAAUACCGGUGGCGAAGGCGGCCCCCUGGGACAAAGACUGACGCUCAUGUGCGAAAGCGUGGGGAGCAAACAGGGAUUAGAUACC